AUAUAUAACUUCAUUUGAACAGAAACUUGCUGAAUAAGUGCCCAGCGUUCCAGAAGGCAUUUACAGGAUAUCUUCGUGUCUUAACUACGCAGUGCGCUCCCUGGUGACACAUUUAUACAUCCGGGUGAUAUACUAGCUGACGGCUUUCUAUUUAAUUGCAUGCGGUUCAUUAGAGAUUGUGACAGAAAAGGAAAUGUUACAGUGAUAUGUGAUGCUGAAGUGUGUCUUCGUUUGACACCAUCUCGACAAAGUGGGCGAUCUACCUGCUAGCACGGGACCGCAGAUAGGUGAAGAUGAGCUGACAUCUAUGACAUUCUAAAUGCUCUGCAGCAAGCUUCUGGUGACACAAAUACAGCGUCCAAAGACAGAUCAGUGAAAAGAUGGUUAGAUACUGCAGCCACGAGAAUAAAUGAAUCUAACGUUGCCAACGUUACAGAUAGUAAACCCAGCAUAAAGACGUAUUACAUCACAGCGUUAUAUUUUACGUUUACGUCACUGACGUCAACAGGAUUCGGAAAAAUGUCACCAAAUACCAAUAGAAUUGACAUGCAGGUAAAGAUGAUAUAUUUGGUGGUGACUGCAGUGACGUAGAAUGCUCUGAAAAAUCGUUCUAAUUUGUACUUGCCCUUAGUUACUGUGAUAUUGACAAGAUAGAGUUACACGUGCUGAAAGAAACAAUGGAUAUAUAACCAGAAUUUUCAAAAAGAAUUAAUGGGUAAAAUACAAGUGACAUUCAAUCUUAAGAUGCUAAAUUGUGAUCUCUUCUGACAAAAGCUCGACGAAUGGGACCACAGAUCGGAAAAGAUGACCUGACGUCUAGGGCAUUCAAAUUUUCUCCGCUAUCAGCAAGAAGUGGUAUAGAUACGGCGUUCAAAGACAGCAAGACGAACAGUUGACGGAUGUUUCAUUUCUUCAUCAGAUUCCAGCCAGUACGUCAAGGUUACAGUGUGUUUUCGGUGUAUCUAUAAGGUCAUUCUUAGAAACAUCAGACAGUUGAGCGCCCUCUAGUAGUCGGCGCAUUUCCAGCUUUGAGCGCCCUCUGAAAGUCGGCGCAUUUCCGGGAAGCUGGUGAUACAGCGCCAUCUGGAAAAAAAUGAGACAGACGUCGCUGUCUAACCUCGAGGAAAUCGACUGCAAGUGAAACUGUUUAGCAAAGUAUACAAAUAUAACAUGGAUUUUUAAGAUCUUCCUUGUUGAAGAAAUUUCAUGUAACAUGGUGCUGCGCACCAGCCGCAUUGAAAUUAUAAAAAUGAGAUUAGUAUUUUGUAUUUUCACAUCCUAAAUGAAAUUCAGCAGCGUUAAAGACACGCCUCAAAAUAACUGUCUUUUUUUUUAUUUCAGUGAUGGUAAUCAUACCUAAUGCAUGAAAAAUAUCAGAUAUACAAGAAUUUAAUUUCAAAUUGACAGUGACAUAUAUUAAGCCAAGACGAUGAGUUAAAUGUCUUAAUAUUUUAUUAUAUUCUUAAAACUUUGCUGAAGAGAGAUUGUCUGAAUAAGUUUGCAGAUGAAGUUAUGAAAACACAUUUAUUCCGGAAGGGUCCAAAUUGUCCAUCUGAAAACUUGUGGUAUAGCUGUAUAUUACCAGUCUUAUAAGAAUGCUUUUCAUGAAGUUUUUAUGGGUAUAAAAAAGUAGGUCACUAGGUCUAGGUUGGACUUUAAUUAAGUUAUUCUUGAAAUCACGGAAGUGGUGAAACUGAUAAUAGAAUGUUAAGAAAGUGAAAGUCUAUUUUCUCAUUUUAACAUUUAUUCACAAAAACAAAACUUACAAAUGUAUUAUAUUUUAUUUACUGUUGUCACUUCUCUGAACGGUGUACGUAGGCGAAAAUAAAUUUCGACUGAACGUGAAUCCCAUUAUUUUCAGCAGAAUGGAACAUUUUGAAAAUCAAAUCUGUGAUACUGUAGACAAUAUACUGCUGUUGCUUGGACUGCCAUACUGUAGACGAUAUACUGCUGUUGCUUGGACUGCGAUACUGUAGACGAUAUACUGCUGUUGUUUGGACUGCGAUACUUUAGACAAUAUACUGCUGUUGCUUGGACUGCCAUACUGUAGACGAUAUACUGCUGUUGCUUGGACUGCGAUACUGUAGACGAUAUACUGCUGUUGUUUGGACUGCGAUACUGUAGACGAUAUACUGCUGGUGCUUGGACUGCGAUACUUUAGACGAUAUACUGCUGUUGCUUGGACUGCGAUACUGUAGACGAUAUACUGCUGGUGUUUGGACUGCGAUACUGUAGACGAUAUACUGCUGGUGCUUGGACUGCGAUACUGUAGACGAUAUACUG